UACCAGUGUGUAUGCAAGCAUCUUACUAGUGUGUGUGAGCGAUGUUGCAUUCCGGUCACCAAUAAUCCCCGCCCCUUUUCAGGCAGUUUUUUUUUUUUUUUUUUUAAAGCCAAGUUGUGGACAAAAUGUCUGCGGACAAGUAGCUUAACCGAGGUGGGAGCUCCACUUCAUAAUUUGAGGGCUUCAGCUGAGAAUAUAAGAACACUUUCAAUGCAACAAGGGUCGGGCUGCCGCCGUGCAGGACGCGGCACCUGAGCGGCCACACAGGUGCCUUUCUCCUCCCGACAGCCAAGCAGCCUGGAGCAAAUGUUACCUUGCGAGUUUACGCUGCAGCAUCAUCAAGUGCAACGUUUCAGUUCAUGGACAUCGAAGCAAGAGGAGGAAAAGAGUCACCACGCAGCUGCAUGACCAUUUCAACAAAGACGGAAUAAACAACCUCUGGAUUCAUGGAACUUCUCUGCACACAAAUAUAUUAAUUGGAAUAUUCAAUAAAUUUCACAUAGAAA